GUGGGGAAUAUUGGGCAAUGGGCGCAAGCCUGACCCAGCAACGCCGCGUGAAGGAAGAAGGCUUUCGGGUUGUAAACUUCUUUUACCAGGGACGAAACAAAUGACGGUACCUGGUGAAUAAGCCACGGCUAACUACGUGCCAGCAGCCGCGGUAAUACGUAGGUGGCGAGCGUUAUCCGGAUUUAUUGGGUGUAAAGGGCGUGUAGGCGGGACAGCAAGUCAGAUGUGAAAACCAGAGGCUCAACCUCUGGCCUGCAUUUGAAACUGUUGUUCUUGAGUGUCGGAGAGGUAAUCGGAAUUCCGUGUGUAGCGGUGAAAUGCGUAGAUAUACGGAGGAACACCAGUGGCGAAGGCGGAUUACUGGACGAUAACUGACGCUGAGGCGCGAAAGCGUGUGGAGCAAACAGGAUUAGAUACCCCAGUAGUCC
rnacentral:rRNA from 1 species